CUCCAUGGAAACAGUACACACAACGAAGGCGAAACCAUGACAUGGUUUUUCGACCUUCUAGAAGUGACAACCAAAUAUUUUUUAAACUACACCUUAACGUCUAAAAAAAUGGUCGUAGUAUUGUGCCACAGCACCAUUUAUUUCAUCGCUUGUGCUUCCAAGUAUCAUUAAUAACAUUUGAAUCAAAGUCAAUCUCCACGAAUAUUAUCUUUUAUCCAAAUCACGAUCCUCGAAACAUUUGCCGAACACCACAGAUCGAUAUUAAAUGUACUUUCAUUUUUUCUUAUGAUGAAAUUCGAAACGAAGUUUUCAAAAAUGCGGCAAAACUGCGAAAGUUAAGACAAGGGAAAUAAGAAAGUCAGCUAGAUGUUUAUUUGAGAGUUACCUACUCUUUGUUGUUUUAUUUAUGUCUCUGAAUGUCGUAAACAUUUCGUGGUAUAUUUCCGUAACGCGUUUGAAUAGUUAUUUACACCUACUAAAAAUGCUUCCUGCUUCGGAAAAUCAUCAGGUUCAUAACGGAAAUCGACGCCAUACACGAUCCCUGUGUAGAAAGUCUGACAAUUCUAAUUUAGAAUUCGAGAGUAAAAUGUCACCACGUGUUGCUAGUUAUGUAAGUGACAUCAAAACAGAAGACACCCAGUAUACAAAACUCCUUGAAAAUAGUAAAGAAGCAGUUGGAAGAAAUAAAACUUACAGAAGCGACACAGCUAGUCAACAAGGACUUUCUGACAAAAAUACUACCCGAGUUAGAAAGCAAAGAUCGAAAAUAACGAUUAAAUACGAAAAGAAUGAUGGGUUUGAAAAUAACAAUACAGAUGUUGAAACCGUAUCGCCGUAUUUUGCAACGAAAAAACACGAGCAAACUGAUCUGGAACGGGAAAAUAAACGGAGCAAAUGGGAACCCGAAGGAUGGUUAUUAGUUCUGAAUAACAUUCGAGAGAUGCGUAAGCAUCAAGACGCCCCAGUAGAUAGUAUGGGUUGCGAUACGAUAUCAGAUCGUACUUCAGCACCUGAAAUAUUCCGAUACCAGGUCCUGUUAUCACUGAUGCUGUCCAGUCAAACUAAAGACGAGGUCACUUCAGCAGCAAUGAUGCGACUGAGAGAACAUGGAUGCAACAUCGACAACAUUUUGGAAACUACGGAUGAAAAACUGGGCAAACUUAUUUACCCUGUUGGCUUUUGGAAGAGGAAGGUCGAGUAUAUCAAGAAAACAACACGCAUUCUGAAAGAGAAAUAUCAUGGCGAUAUUCCUCCCUCUCUCGAAGGUUUGCUUCAGUUACCCGGUAUUGGUCCCAAAAUGGCUCACCUGAUUAUGAAAUGCGCGUGGGACAAACUAACAGGAAUUGGUGUGGACACGCAUGUUCACCGCAUUUCUAACAGACUUGGAUGGGUUCCUACACCAACAAAAGAACCUGAAAAAACUCGCAAAUUUCUUGAAGACUGGCUGCCUCGCGAAUAUUGGAAUGAAGUGAACCAUUUGUUGGUCGGGUUUGGCCAACAGCUCUGCAGACCCAUCAACCCAGCUUGUGUUACGUGUCUUAACAAGGAACUCUGUCCAACUGGUCGCAAGAACGUGAAAACUAUGAAGAUAACGAAGAAAAAAAAAUGAGUAAUAACUGUGUUUUGGCAUAGUGAUAUUUUCAUUGUAGGAAUUCAAACAACAGUCUUAUACUGAGCAAAAACUAAAUCAACAUGCUUGUCUGAUGUUAUGCAUACUUUAGUUUGUCAAUUGAUUUAUCACAAUUAAAACGCCGUUGUAUUCUGAUUUAUAGUAAAAUGUUCAUCAGUUAGGUUUUUUUCUCAUCGCUUUAUCAAAAUAUCCAAGUAUAGAAUUUUAUUUCUAUUUUGCACGGUCUCGUUUCAUCGACCAAAUGAAAAAUAGAUAUAAAUGCCAGGGUAUUGUGAAAGAAUACCUAAUUUGAACGUUACGGGUAAUGUUUAGUAUUUCAAGACACCAGAAGAUUAAAAAAAUGCUAUUGUUCUAAUUACAAUGGAAAAUCAUUUAUACUUUCAUAAAAAUGAACCAUCAUUUAAUAAAGUGCCUUCCAGUCUCUCUCCUGCUCUCUCACACAUUCUGGCUCUUAUGUGCUGUCAUACACAUCUAUAUUGAGCUAAUUCUAUUUAGAUGUAUAUGUUAUAACAUAAUUUUGUACAUAUAAUCACAUUACAUAUGUGUAUAGCAGAAUAUACCCAUAUUUUGUGUAGAAUACAAAACUUAUUUUAUUUCUCAUAGUAUCCAGUUAAAAGAAUAUCAAUAGACUUGCAUAUGUGCAAAAUGAAAAGUAAAUUAGUUGAUCGUGGGUAAGCAGCUCAUAAAUACAAGUUUAAAUUUAUUGCAGGAAUUUCAUUGUAUAUUUGGGCAGAACACUUAAAUUGGCAUAUUUUAAUACAGGAGCAGAUUGCAUAUCCUAGGAAAAUAUUACUAAUGAUAAUUAAUAUUGUUAUACUUGCUUAGCUUCAGGUAAACACGUACAGCAAUGUUAAAUAUCAUUGGCAAGGAUAGUCCCACUAUGAGCAUGAGAUUCAGUUCAUCUCAAACUACAUUAAUAUGUCAUAGAAAAGCUAAUAUGCUACUGGAACAGUCCAAGGACGGAUUGAUGUGUAGAACAGAAAUGAUUCUGUAUGUUUUGUAAAGAAGCAGAAAGUCCUGAGAGAGAGAGAAAGUGUGUGUACAAGUGUGUGAGACUUGUAUUAAUAUUACUGCAUGAUAACCACUAACAUUGCCAUCUUUGUAUUCAUUUAAUUUCAUCAAAUAAAUUGAUUUUAUUUUAUUGUCAUGGCCAUCAAUUUAUGUGACCUUCAUCUUCAAAUAAAUUGUUUACUUCCCAUCAUAGUGAAAGUUAAUAAGGAAAUAAAAUAUUUUUUAUGUAAAAUUUA